rnacentral:rRNA from 1 species
UUAAGUGAAUAAGGGCGCACGGUGGAUGCCUUGGCACUAGGAGCCGAUGAAGGACGGGACUAACACCGAUAUGCUUUGGGGAGCUGUAAGUAAGCUAUGAUCCAGAGAUUUCCGAAUGGGGGAACCCAAUAUCUUUUAUAGGAUAUUACUUUUCAGUGAAUACAUAGCUGAUUAGAGGUAGACGCAGAGAACUGAAACAUCUUAGUACCUGCAGGAAGAGAAAGAAAAUUCGAUUCCCUGAGUAGCGGCGAGCGAAACGGGAAGAGCCCAAACCAACAAGCUUGCUUGUUGGGGUUGUAGGACUCCGAUAUGGUAGUCUGUUAGUAUAGUUGAAGGAUUUGGAAAAUUCCGCUAAAGAGGGUGAAAGCCCCGUAGACGAAAUGCUGACAACACCUAGGAGGAUCCUGAGUACGGCGGAACACGAGAAAUUCCGUCGGAAUCCGCGGGGACCAUCCCGCAAGGCUAAAUACUCCCUAGUGACCGAUAGUGAACCAGUACCGUGAGGGAAAGGUGAAAAGCACCCCGGAAGGGGAGUGAAAUAGAUCCUGAAACCGUGUGCCUACAACAAGUCAAAGCUCGUUAAUGAGUGAUGGCGUGCCUUUUGUAGAAUGAACCGGCGAGUUACGAUUGCAUGCGAGGUUAAGUCGAAGAGACGGAGCCGUAGCGAAAGCGAGUCUGAAUAGGGCGAAUGAGUAUGUAGUCGUAGACCCGAAACCAUGUGAUCUACCCAUGUCCAGGUUGAAGGUGCGGUAAAACGCACUGGAGGACCGAACCCACGUACGUUGAAAAGUGCGGGGAUGAGGUGUGGGUAGCGGAGAAAUUCCAAACGAACUUGGAGAUAGCUGGUUCUCUCCGAAAUAGCUUUAGGGCUAGCCUCGGAAUUGAGAAUGAUGGAGGUAGAGCACUGUUUGGACUAGGGGCCCAUCUCGGGUUACCGAAUUCAGAUAAACUCCGAAUGCCAUUCAUUUAUAUCCGGGAGUCAGACUGCGAGUGAUAAGAUCCGUAGUCGAAAGGGAAACAGCCCAGACCACCAGCUAAGGUCCCAAAAUAUAUGUUAAGUGGAAAAGGAUGUGGGGUUGCACAGACAACUAGGAUGUUGGCUUAGAAGCAGCCACCAUUUAAAGAGUGCGUAAUAGCUCACUAGUCGAGUGACCCUGCGCCGAAAAUGUACCGGGGCUAAACAUAUUACCGAAGCUGUGGACUACACCAUUAGGUGUAGUGGUAGGAGAGCGUUCUAAGGGCGUUGAAGGUCGAUCGUGAGGACGGCUGGAGCGCUUAGAAGUGAGAAUGCCGGUAUGAGUAGCGAAAGACAGGUGAGAAUCCUGUCCACCGUAUGACUAAGGUUUCCUGGGGAAGGCUCGUCCGCCCAGGGUUAGUCGGGACCUAAGCCGAGGCCGAUAGGCGUAGGCGAUGGACAACAGGUUGAUAUUCCUGUACCAGUUGUUUUUGUUUGAGCAAUGGAGGGACGCAGUAGGCUAAGGAAUGCAUGCGAUUGGAAGUGCAUGUCCAAGCAAUGAGUCUUGAGUAGAGUUAAAUGCUUUACUCUUUAAGGACAAGUUGUGACGGGGAGCGAAAUAAUAGUAGCGAAGUUCCUGAUGUCACACUGCCAAGAAAAGCUUCUAGUGAGAAAACAACUGCCCGUACCGUAAACCGACACAGGUAGUCGAGGAGAGUAUCCUAAGGUGAGCGAGCGAACUCUCGUUAAGGAACUCGGCAAAAUGACCCCGUAACUUCGGGAGAAGGGGUGCUGACUUCGGUCAGCCGCAGUGAAUAGGCCCAAGCGACUGUUUAUCAAAAACACAGGUCUCUGCAAAAUCGUAAGAUGAAGUAUAGGGGCUGACGCCUGCCCGGUGCUGGAAGGUUAAGAGGAUGGGUUAGCUUCGGCGAAGCUCAGAAUUGAAGCCCCAGUAAACGGCGGCCGUAACUAUAACGGUCCUAAGGUAGCGAAAUUCCUUGUCGGGU